CGCGAUCUUUACCUCCGUGGUCACCGCUGGGUGUGGAGAGCUGGGCUCCGCCAUAAAGGGUGAAGGAGAGGGCUCUUCCCGACGGAAAGAGUGCCUCGUCGAUUCGGUAGCUCUCGACUGCUGAGCUCUGGUUUUCGUCAUCUCGAGAGGUCUCUGAAGCUCUAGGGAGCUUGCUAUCUUACCUCUGUCGAGCGUCCCCCUACCUGGCGUGCCAAAUCUGUUGCGGCCAAUC
rnacentral:lncRNA from 1 species